rnacentral:rRNA from 1 species
CCUUGAUUUAGCGGCGGACGGGUGAGUAAUGCCUAGGAAUCUGCCUGGUAGUGGGGGAUAACGUUCCGAAAGGAACGCUAAUACCGCAUACGUCCUACGGGAGAAAGCAGGGGACCUUCGGGCCUUGCGCUAUCAGAUGAGCCUAGGUCGGAUUAGCUAGUUGGUGAGGUAAUGGCUCACCAAGGCGACGAUCCGUAACUGGUCUGAGAGGAUGAUCAGUCACACUGGAACUGAGACACGGUCCAGACUCCUACGGGAGGCAGCAGUGGGGAAUAUUGGACAAUGGGCGAAAGCCUGAUCCAGCCAUGCCGCGUGUGUGAAGAAGGUCUUCGGAUUGUAAAGCACUUUAAGUUGGGAGGAAGGGCAUUAACCUAAUACGUUAGUGUUUUGACGUUACCGACAGAAUAAGCACCGGCUAACUUCGUGCCAGCAGCCGCGGUAAUACGAAGGGUGCAAGCGUUAAUCGGAAUUACUGGGCGUAAAGCGCGCGUAGGUGGUUCGUUAAGUUGGAUGUGAAAGCCCCGGGCUCAACCUGGGAACUGCAUCCAAAACUGGCGAGCUAGAGUACGGUAGAGGGUGGUGGAAUUUCCUGUGUAGCG